UUGACCUCGAAUCAGGUAGGAAUACCCGCUGAACUUAAGCAUAUCAAUAAGCGGAGGAAAAGAAACCAACAGGGAUUGCCCCAGUAACGGCGAGUGAAGCGGCAACAGCUCAAAUUUGAAAUCUGGCUCUCGGGCCCGAGUUGUAAUUUGUAGAGGAUGCUUUUGGUGAGGUGCCUUCCGAGUUCCCUGGAACGGGACGCCAUAGAGGGUGAGAGCCCCGUCUGGUUGGACACCGAUCCUCUGUAAAGCUCCUUCGACGAGUCGAGUAGUUUGGGAAUGCUGCUCUAAAUGGGAGGUAUAUGUCUUCUAAAGCUAAAUACCGGCCAGAGACCGAUAGCGCACAAGUAGAGUGAUCGAAAGAUGAAAAGAACUUUGAAAAGAGAGUUAAACAGUACGUGAAAUUGUUGAAAGGGAAGCGCUUGUGACCAGACUUGGGCUUGGUUGAUCAUCCGGGGUUCUCCCCGGUGCACUCUUCCGGCUCAGGCCAGCAUCAGUUCGCCCUGGGGGAUAAAGGCUUCGGGAAUGUGGCUCUCUCCGGGGAGUGUUAUAGCCCGCUGCGUAAUACCCUGUGGCGGACUGAG
rnacentral:rRNA from 2 species